UACAGAGGUCCCGAGCGUUGUUCGGAAUUACUGGGCGUAAAGCGCACGUAGGCGGCUUUGCAAGUUAGAGGUGAAAGCCCGGGGCUCAACUCCGGAAUUGCCUUUAAAACUGCAUCGCUAGAAUUGUGGAGAGGUAAGUGGAAUUCCGAGUGUAGAGGUGAAAUUCGUAGAUAUUCGGAAGAACACCAGUGGCGAAGGCGACUUACUGGACACAUAUUGACGCUGAGGUGCGAAAGCGUGGGGAGCAAACAGG
rnacentral:rRNA from 1 species